UUUUUUUUUUUUUUUUUUCUUUUUUUGUCUUUUUGCUAUUUCUUUGGGCCGCUCCCUUGGCAUAUGGAGGUUCCCAGGCUAGGGGUUGAAUCGGAGGUGUAGCCACUGGCCUACGCCAGAGCCACAGCAACGCGGGAUACGGGAUACGAGCCGUGUCUGCAACCUACACCACAGCUCACAGCAACACCGGAUCGUUAACCCACUGAGCAAGGGCAGGGACCGAACCUGCAACCUCAUGGUUCCUAGUUGGAUUCGUAAACCACUGCGCCACGACGGGAACUCCCUAUCCUUCCUUUUAAAGUCUGUUUCGUCUGAUAUGCGUAUUGCAACUCCUGAUUUCCUGUCUUGUCCAUUGACAUGAAAUAGCUUUUUCCAUCCCCUCACUUUCAAUUUUAUGUGUCUUUGCCAUACGGCAAGUCUCUCAUAGAUAGCAUAUUGUAGGCUCUUGUUUUUCAUCCAAUCUGUCACUCCAUGUCUUUUGAUUGGAGUAUUCAAUCCAUUGACAUUAAGGUAACUAUUGAUAAAGAUAUGUUUAUUGCCAUUUUAAACCUUGUUUCCCAGUUGAUUUUAUGUUUCUCCUUUUUUUCCGGCUGGAUGAUUUCCUUUUAUUUCGUGCUCGUGUCCUCUUCUUUUUAGUUUUUGUGAGGGUAAUGUUUGGUUUUGAUUUGUGAUUGCCCUGCGUUUCAAGUAUAUUAACCCCUUUCUAUAUCUGCUUACUUUAGCCUGAUAGUCAUAUAGGCUCAAACACAUUCUUAAAAAAGGAGUCUAGAUUUUAUUUUCCUUCCCCACAUUUUAUGAUUUUGAAGUCCUUUUUAAAAUAUCUUCAUGUUUGUCCUUUUGUUCUUUCUUGUGUUUAUCAUUGCUUUUAUAAUGUUUUUUUUUCUUUUAGAUCUGUAUACUGGCUUAUUUAAGUGAUUUCUAGUUGUGAUUUCCUCCAUUCUAUUUCUUAUAACUUUUUUUUGGGUCUUUUUGCCUUUUCUAGGGCCGCUUCCAUGGCAUAUGGAGGUUCCCAGGCUAGGGGUCGAAUUGGAGCUGUAGCCCCUGGCCUAUGCCACAGCCACAGCAAUGUGGGAUCCCAACCUCGUCUGCAACUGGCAUCACAGCUCACGGCAAUGCCGGAUACUUGACCCACUGAGCAAGGCCAAGGAUCGAAACCGCAACCUCAUGGUUCCUAGUUGGAUUUGUUAACCACUGAGCCAUGAUGGGAACUCCCUUACUUCUUUUUUAUUUAUUUACAGGAGCCCUUUCAUUAUUUCUUUUAGAAUGGGUUUAGAACCUCUGUACUCUUUUAGUUUUUGUUUGUUGGAGAAAUUCUUUAUUUCUCCUUUUAUUUUAAAUGAUAUUCUUGCUGAGUAUAGUACUCUAGGCUGCAAAAUUUUCCCUAUCUCAUUAGUUUCUUUAGGCCUGUAGUGUUUCAGUAGCGAAAUCAGCUGAUAGCAUGAUGGGGGUCCCCUUAUAAUUAAUUCUUUGCUUUUCUCUUGUUGCCUUUAGAAUCCUCUCUUUAUCUUUAACUUUUGUCAUUUUUAUUAUGGUAUAUCUUGGUGUAGGCCUGUUUGGUUUCAGCUUGUUUGGGGCUCUCUGUGCUUCCUGUAUCUUGAUAUCUGCUUCCUUUAUUUAUUUUAAUUUUUUUUGGCUUUUUAGGGCCACACCCAUGGAAUAUGCAGGUUCCCAGGCUAGGGGUCCAGUCAGAGCUGUAACUGCCAGCCUACUCCACAGUCACAGUAACUCAGGAUCCAAGCUGCAUCUGUGACCUUCACCACAGCUCACAGAAACUGCUGGAUCCUUAACCCACUGAGCGAGGCCAGGGAUCAAACCUGUGUCUUCAUGGAUACUAAUGUUUGUUAACCACCGAGCCAUGACGGGGACUCUUGAUUCCUUUAAAUUUGGAAAGUUUUCGGCCAUGAUUUCUUCUUUAUAUUUUCAAUUCCUUUUACUUUUUCUUCUCCUUCUUGAAUCCCUAUUAUGCACAGAUUGGCCCACUUUAUAUUAUUCCACAGAUAAUAUUUUUCUUUCAUAUUUUUUCAUUUGGUUUUCUGUCUGCUGUUCUGAUUGGGUGAUUUCCAUUAUUCUAUCUUCCAAGUCACUAAUUCAUUCCUCUGCAUUAUUCAUUCUACUCUUCAGUGCCUUUAACUCAGUUUACAUCUAUGCAAAUUGAUUUUCUAAUUAUUCUUGGCUCCUAUAUUUUCUGGUUCUUUUCUAAAGUAAUCUGUGUUACUGUUCAUAUUUUCUCCUUUUAUUUUUUGUCUUUUCUAGGCCUGAACCCAUGGCAUAUGGAGGUUCCCAGGCUAGGAGUCUAAUCAGAGCUGUAGCUGCUGACCUACACCAGAGCCACAACAAUGUGGCAUCCGAGCCACCUCUGCAACCUACACCACAGCUCACAGCAAUGCCGGAUCCUUAACCCACUGAGCGAGGCCAGGGAUCAAACCUGCAACCUCAUGGUUUUUAGUUGGAUUCGUUAACCAUUGAGCCACAAUGGGGACUCCCAUAUUUGCUCUUAAUUCCUUCGUAUUUGCUCUUAAUUCCUUCAGCAUUUUCACUGUCUUCUUUUCGAACUUGCUGUCUGUUAAGACUGCAGAGGUCUGUUUCAUUGUUUGCUCCUUCAGGGAAAGUCUCCUAUUCUUUUAACUGGGAAUGGUUCCUGAGCUUCUUUAUCUUGCUUAUAUUUUUCAUAUCCUGUGAGGGUAAGGAAAACAGCUACUGUAGUCUUGAAGGGAUAUUUAUAUGUGAAAUUUCCCCUGGAUAUUUUGUGAGGGCUUACUAUUUAUUUUUGGUGUGAGGGCUGCUUUUGGUUUGGAUAUUUGUUGUCUCUUUUUGUCUCAUAUUCCAGUGUGUGCUGGCAGUUAUCCCCUUGAUAGUGUACUGCAUGUACUUGCAGGGAGGCAAUGGGCAGGGCUAGUAGCCAGUGCCUGCUUCCUGGGCCCUUGACAGUGGCAAGGACCCACGGGAAGGUGGUGCAAGCUGAUCCUACUGGCAGGGCCCUGCAAAAUGGUAGUGACCCUUAUGCAGGAGUAGGCAGCUUGUGGAGUGUUUGACAAUGGCAAAAGCAGGGCAGGUGUCUUCCCAGGGGAGUGAGAACAACAACGGGUCGUUCUUGGUUACAGUGCCCUCCUCUGUGCCGAACUCUGAGUUGACUGGGGCUGCAGGUGGUGCCUGUUCAUGGACCCCUAGUGGUGGCAGGUCAGGCCCACCUCUGGAGCAUGAGAUGACUGUGGUGGCUUGCCCCCACUGCCUGUAGACCACACAAGAGGUACACCAUCCCGCUUAGUCUUUGCAAGAGGCGCCUUGCUGCCCAUAUCCCUACCCUAUGAGAGUCUGCACACAUGC
rnacentral:lncRNA from 1 species